AGCUGUUUCAUUAAUUACAGCAGAAUUAAUUAUUAGUGGUUGAGAAUCAGGAUAUUAAUCCUCUAAGUUCUCAGUGUUGGUGUAUUCACUGGAAACAUCAGCAGGCUUCCAGAGGUGCAGAUAUUCAAGUGAAAAUUCCACUUCCCUGGAUGCUGUGGCAUGCUCAGAAUAAGCUCAAAACAGCAAGAUGUUGAUCCCCGGCCAGCAGGAAACUCUCCAUUGCGGCAGUCAGCAGGCCUGUUGCUCUCUGGUGAAGGCCUUGCGUUUGCAGGUUGAGCUUCCCAAGAAGGCCCUGCCAUGGCUCCAGAGUUCCACAUGGGCUUUCCCAGAAGGAGAACAAAUGCAACACUCAUGUGUUUCCCUGAAGAUCCACCUCUUAAAUUUGAUCCCAUGCACUCUUUUAAAAGGAAAAUAGUGUUCUUGGCUCAAAAUAUUAGUUUGAUUUUGCAUAAAUUUGCAUCAUGCAGCAUUAACUCAAAAUAGGGAUAACAAAAUCAAGUAAACUCAUUAGCUAACCUAUAGUAAUUAUAUACAAGUUCAACAUGGGUGGCAUUACACACAGAAAAUGCCUAUAAUUUUUAACUUAGUCACAACCUCAAUCCAGAGGAGGCAAGAAUAUUUCUGGGGAGCAUUGCUUACUAAUCCUGUGAGAGAGACUCUGGGGCUAUGCUGAUUCCACUAAAUGACACUACAAAGACUCACUAGGACCCUGCUUUCCUGUCAUUGCUAGUGAAAGCGAGCAUAGCUCGAGCUGGACCCCUCCUGAGAAGACUUUUCUUAAUCUUUGUACCCUUAGGCAUUAGCAUUGUUUUUUACAAAGUCGGGUGAUCUUUCUUUUAUCAAAAUUAUUCAAUCUUGGAGAGGCUCCGGGCCGCACCCAGGACCUCACCAUGCCUCGGACAGGAACUGGAACAGAGCCGAGGAGCCUCAGGCUGCUUGGCCGACCCCAGGAGAGAAGCUCCGGAUGAAGGUGGGGCUCCAAGCCCCUCCCAGGACCUCACUGUGCUGUGGACCUCUAACUGCUUUUAAUAGUUUGUUCUUCUCUUGGGUUUCUGGAAUCUUAACUAUUAUAUGCC
rnacentral:lncRNA from 1 species